AACAUGAUUGGAUGAAACACAAUUUGGCUUGUGAGUGGUUUAAACUGCCACCUUGUGCGUGCGUGGACCCUGCUCCAGCCACCUGGCCUGAGCCCAGGACCCCCACCCGAAACACUUCAAAUAAUAUCCUAAAUUCUGAAUCUCCCAUUUGUCCAUGCUGAGGUGACUUGCAAGAUCUGAGGAUACCAUUGCUCAGUGGAAAUCUUUAAAAGAAACCCAUGAACUCAACAAAUUGUGCCAGAUUUAGACUACUGAGAAUGGAUCUUCCAAACGUGACAGUUGAUAGGAAAAAGCCCAAAGAAUACCCCGGACACUGUUUGGAAGAAGAGUGAAUACAACUAAGAAAAGGGAGAAAAAAGACUUGUUUUAUCAAGCACACAAAAUAUCUACAAAGAGAGACUUCCUCUCUAUUUCAAGACCAAGAGAACAGACCUCUAAGCAAACAAUUUAAAAUGGGACCAAAUGCUAAAGACUGUAAAGUGAACCCAAAGACAUAUGACAUAUAUCUACAACAAACAAGAUUUUGAUAAUCUCUAGGAUGCAGAAAGGGCUUAUUUAUAAUGUCUUGGUGGUGUCUCUCUAGGCAAUUCCAGCGUACAUAUUUGUUCUAAAUUAACACUUCAGCAAUUUUCAACAUGACAGAAAGCACCACACCAUGCCUCCGUUGUUCUGAACCCAUUAAAUUGCAAUUUGUGUUUACAUGUUAGAUGCUGAAAGCCUAAGAACAUUCUUUGUGUAUUUAAUAAGAUAAAUGAUUUUGUGUAUAAAUAAUCCCUUAA
rnacentral:lncRNA from 1 species